AUUGAACGCUGGCGGCAGGCUUAACACAUGCAAGUCGAGCGGGGUGAUGGUGCUUGCACUAUCACUUAGCGGCGGACGGGUGAGUAAUGCUUAGGAAUCUGCCUAUUAGUGGGGGACAACAUCUCGAAAGGGAUGCUAAUACCGCAUACGUCCUACGGGAGAAAGCAGGGGAUCACUUGUGACCUUGCGCUAAUAUAUGAGCCUAAGUCGGAUUAGCUAGUUGGUGGGGUAAAGGCCUACCAAGGCGACAAUCAGUAGCGGGUCUGAGAGGAUGAUCCGCCACACUGGGACUGAGACACGGCCCAGACUCCUACGGGAGGCAGCAGUGGGGAAUAUUGGACAAUGGGGGGAACCCUGAUCCAGCCAUGCCGCGUGUGUGAAGAAGGCCCUAUGGUUGUAAAGCACUUUAAGCGAGGAGGAGGCUCUUUUGGUUAAUACCCAAGAUGAGUGGACGUUACUCGCAGAAUAAGCACCGGCUAACUCUGUGCCAGCAGCCGCAGUAA
rnacentral:rRNA from 1 species